CCAUGCCGCGUGUCUGAAGAAGGCCUUCGGGGUUGUAAAGGACGUUUUGUCAGGGAGCAAAACUUACUGGUUAAUACCCGGUGAGGCUGAGAGUACCUGAAGAAUAAGCACCGGCUAACUACGUGCCAGCAGCCGCGGUAAUACGUAGGGUGCAAGCGUUAAUCGGAAUUACUGGGCGUAAAGCGUGCGCAGGCGGACUUUUAAGCCAGAUGUGAAAGCCCCGAGCUUAACUUGGGAAUUGCGUUGGAACUGGGAGUCUAGAGUCUGUCAGAGGGGGAUGGAAUUCCACGUGUAGCAGUGAAAUGCGUAGAGAUGUGGAGGAACACCGAUGGCGAAGGCAGUCCCCUGGGAUAAGACUGACGCUCAUGCACGAAAGCGUGGGGAGCAAACAGGAUUAGAUACCCUGGUAGUCCACGCCCUAAACGAUGUCUACUAGUUGUUGGGGUAGCAAUACCUCAGUGACGCAGCUAACGCGUGAAGUAGACCGCCUGGGGAGUACGGUCGCAAGAUUAAAACUCAAAGGAAUUGACGGGGG
rnacentral:rRNA from 1 species